rnacentral:snoRNA from 2 species
AGCAAAAUGAUGAAACUAGAAUUUUUGAUAUCUGAAUUUGAUGUAGAACCUCAAAUCAUGCCUUCAAAGUUCUCUGAUUGCU